AUACGGAGGGUGCGAGCGUUAAUCGGAAUUACUGGGCGUAAAGCGUACGUAGGCGGUUGGUUAAGUUAGAUGUGAAAGCCCCGGGCUUAACCUGGUAACUGCAUUUAAAACUGGCGAACUAGAGUUGAGUAGAGGGGAGUGGAAUUUCAGGUGUAGCGGUGAAAUGCGUAGAGAUCUGAAGGAACACCAGUGGCGAAAACGACUCCCUGGACUCGAACUGACGCUGAGGUACGAAAGCGUGGGUAGCAAACGGGAUUAGAAACCCCAGUAGUCC
rnacentral:rRNA from 1 species